rnacentral:RNase_P_RNA from 1 species
CCAGCCGGCCGGGCGGCCGCACCAGCAGGAGCCGAAAGGCUGCGGGUGAGGAAAGUCCGGGCUCCAUGGAAACACGGUGCCGGCUAACAGCCGGCGGGGGCGACCCCAGGGAAAGUGCCACAGAAAGCAAACCGCCGCGCCUCGUGCGCGGUAAGGGUGAAAGGGUGGGGUAAGAGCCCACCGCGCGACCGGCAACGGAAGCGGCACGGUAAACCCCACCGGGAGCAAAACCGAAUAGGGGCGGUGCGGGGGAAACUCCGGGGGCUGUUUCCGGCCCACCGUCCGGGUAGGUUGCGUGAGGCGUCUGGCAACAGGCGUCCAAGAUGAAUGGCCGCCACGUUUCCGUGCCGCAAGGCGCGGAGGCCAUACAAAACCCGGCUUACAGGCCGGCUGGCAUU